AAGGGCACCACAAGAACGCGUGGAGCAUGUGGCUUAAUUUGACUCAACGCGGGAAAUCUUACCGGGUCCGGACACACUGAGGAUUGACAGGCAAUAUUAAUACAUUGGCGUUUACGUUUUUUGUAUUAUGUUAAAUAUGCUAGUCCUUUCAUGAUUAUGUGAUAGGUGGUGCAUGGCCGUUCUUAGUUCGUGGAGUGAUCUGUCUGCUUAAUUGCGUUUCACUAAGGACCUAUACAUUUACGUGUGUUGCAGCACUUUGACCCCUCUUUUCAACUUCUGUUGUUUAAGAGCGUGUGUCUUAGCUUUUGCUUGCUCGCACAACUAGGUCCUGAAAGCAACGAACGUGACCGCAACCUCUUGUUGCCUUUUGAUACCAACAGUUUCUUUCUUCGCACUCUGUGUGUUGAUUGACUGCAUAAAGGCUUUUUAAACUAGAGGGACCGCUGUUACUUUCUUAAACCAGAGGAAGGUUGCGGCAAUAACAGGUCUGUGAUGCCCUUAGAUGUUCCGGGCUGCACACGUGCUACAAUGAUUAUUGCAGUGAGCAUCUCAUUUUGAUUUACACACCGCAUGCGCGGGCCCAUUUAUUCGUUUCCAUUUUUGUGUUACGCUUUAAAUGUGUUUGCUCUGCGCGCGGUAAAGCCUGCUUCGAAAGUAAGUGGGUAAUCAAUUAGAAGUAAUGAUUUCCUCUUUUUUCCAGCACACAUAUAUACGGCAUCUAUGCCCGGGUUGUACUUAGUUGCAACUUCUGUGCGUAUAGAUGUUGAUGACCUUUUUGUCUCAAUUACCGUAUGUGCGAUUGUCAAUUCAUGGUGGGGACAGACCAUUGUUAAUUGUUGGUCUCGGUCUUAACUAGGAAUGCGUUGUACGGGUCUUUGGUUCAACAAACCACCCGGAAUACGUCCCUGCCCUUUGUACACACCGCCCGUC
rnacentral:rRNA from 1 species